UUUUUUAUGCUCUGCUGAGUAAGAAGAGAGGUGAGCUCAGCUUUCUGACAGCUGGCCUGAAACCUCUGCUUGGAUGAUCUGUUCAUGUGACGGUUUUGCUAUAAGUUUGCUUAUAUUUAUAGCCGAUGCACUUAAAAGAAAGCGAGUCAUUUUCGUGUUUAAGAAACUGAUGAAUCGGGUACAACAAAUACAGGGUCAAAGGGAGGCGUUUGAUCAUAUUCCAGCUGCCACAGGGCGAGAGGCAGGGCCCACCCUGGACAGGUUGCCAGCCCAUUGCAGGGUUUCAAUAUUCCCAUAACAACAAUCUGAUGAAUUGACAAAAUAUUCAUCAGAUUAAUGUUCCUCCACUGCUGAAGGAUUCUCCACUCUCACGCUAUCUGACGAGGCCUGUCCCCGGACCUGUCUGGCAUCAGGAGCCCCUGGCACGAUGCUCCCUAUUGAGUCUUGACAAAAAGUAGGUCACUUGCAAAGCUCCUGCUGGACACGCGCAGUGGAAAGAAAAUAAACGGGGCAGAUGAAUGGAGCUCGACUGGAGGUGGACGGGCUUCCUGCGAGGGCCUCAGAGGGAUGCUGAGACAGAGCCGCUCCAGUGGUUAAUGUCUGAUAACAAUUAAGCUAUGGGGACCUUUACAAACAAACAAAGAUACAACACAUAUGACCCAUUGUUCACAGCACUGCGAAGCCUACAACAAGUUUGCUGCGCACAUGUUGUUGUCAACACCACAAAGACAGGGCUUCUAGAAAUAUCGGGUGGAAACCAGCCGUACAGGAAGUGAGGAGAAAAAUGCUCAGACGAUAGACAGGAAAUCAGGUGACUUUUAUUGUUUUUUUGGGAGGUUUUUUUGCCUUGUCGUGUCAAAGUAGGAAAAGAUGCAGUAGUGCCAAACAAAACAGGACAAAAAACACACCUGAAAGAGCCAUAUUUCUCCCAGCGAAAGUGAAGCGCUGAAGUUCUCAGUCAACAAUCUGCAGAGUUAUGGAAUCGAUCCCUGCCCCCACAUCCUCCCUUCACCGUGAGCCUGAAGCGUAUGUCUGCCAGAUGUCCAUAGCAAGGAGGGGGAUAUGAAAGAGCCGAAGACUGGCUAGAGGUGUCUUAUAUCGGAGGAAUUAUUAUCCUAACAAUAUAACAUGCCAUCAGUCCCUCCAGGAGUUGCAACCCUAGAUUUGCAUUACAGCCUCAUCCCUAUCUCUGAGCUGACGUUUGAGAAGGAGGACAGACAAACAACAAACAACAAACAUCACAGAUAGAUAGAUAGAUAGAUAGAUAGAUAGAUAGAUAGAUAGAUAGAUAGAUAGAUAGAUAGAUAGAUAGAUAGAUAGAUAGAUAGAUAGAUAGAUAGAUAGAUAGAUAGAUAGAUAGA
ensembl:lncRNA